GCUCCACUCUGGGCUUCGUGUUGUUGGGUCUCGGGUCACUGGUCGCAGGGGAAGUUGUGGAGUCUUUCGAAAAAUUGUGUCCAGAGUUUUUCGUGCGCAGUCCGCAAGGUCAGAACAAAGUCAUCACUCCCACUAUUGUAGAGGGCACUCACUACAAGCAGAUUUGUCAGUGCUGGAAAAACAAAUACAGAUACGCUAUGCUCUACGACACAUUCCACAGGAUCCCUGUAUACUCUGCCUAUACGUUUUAUAUUAAAGGUAAAACUCAACGAAGCGACGCUUCGAAGAUUGAACCUCAGGCGCUUUGUUUCCGUCUCUCCGGCUCCGCCCCCUAAUCAUGGUCACCCCUGUCCUGGUUUUUCUUAUGUGCCUGUGUCCUGUGCCUGUGUCUCCUCUCCAUCCUUGUUUGUGAAUUCAGCUUUGUCACAUCAAAUAGAAAAGAAGCGUCCUGGGUGUAGUAAUCCAAAAGGAGUAACGCAUGCAGCAUAAUUCAGAUUUCUUAUACUACAAGAUUACUUGAGUUGGAACCUACAGAAGAUAACCAGGAGAUGUCCGAACACAUAACACAAGAAACAAUGAACGGGUUCUUUUCUCAGGCUACAGAAACAGACUACAGAGACACAAUAUAUACAUUCAGUCAUUUGAUUCCAAAUGGCUAUUCUGCAGAUCAGGAUCAAGAUUCUGGAUUCCGGCUUCUCUAUUACCAAUGUUGCACCAUAAUGAAUGGGUUAGGCUAGUGAAGGCGCCUAAAGAGGAAAAAUGCUUAAAGAGGAAAAAUGCAUGUUAACCAAACAAAGUCCAGCUUAUAUUGUGACUGGGGUCAUUUCAGGGGAAAAAUUGAUUAAAAUAGUAAGAAAAACGGAUACAAACCCGCCAGAAAACAAAACAAUUGGAGUUUAAAAAAAAAAAAUGGAGUCAACGUUCCCAGUCAUUACUGGACUGCUUAAUCUUGCACUAAAAAUUGGUUACAAAAUUCAACUGAUGGGAUGGGAGGCAACAAAUCUGCACCAAUAUUGAACUGUUUACCUCUUUCGGUUUCUAACCAAUUAUCUGUCCUAGCUGAGUCAUCGUGCCAAAAUUUCAUGUCCAGUGUUUGCUGCCCAGUGACUACAGUUGGUGCAGUCAAGACCUCCAUGACAUCAACUCUUGCAAAGAUGGGCCAUCCUAUUUCUGUGCGGACUUUAAUAUUCCAAAUAAAGUCUUGUUUGAAAGUAGUUUCAAAAAAUCAUUUAGGAAGAAAUAUCAGUAGUCUCUGGAAUAUAUAAAGUUACUGGAGAAGAAAAAACAUUCUUAUGGCAUUGGCCCUGCCAAUUAACAAAAGGAGAAACAUUUGUCAGAACUGCAUUUAACUGUACAUAAAAGAAAUAAGUUCAUGUGAGUUCAUGUCAUCAACACAAACGCUCCCAGGCAUUUGCUGCUUCUCUCCUGGCUCCCCUGAUGUGAGACAACAGUGAGAGAAAGACAAACACAAAGGAGACAGAAAACACACGUAAGGUUAGUGCUGUUAAAAGUGUUGGCACCCUGUUGACCUCUGGAGAAGUUGGUGUGUGCAGGUGGGGUGAAUAGCGGCCAUCACACCGUUAGCAAACUAACAAAAUGCUUUGAACAUGGUACUGAGGGCUUGGUGAACAACACUGUGCUUUAGUCAUGAUAUUACAACUGGCAUACAAAUACACUGCAGUUAAAGGCUGGACUGAAAGACAGCACUGAGACACUGAUCAUGGCAGCACAGGAACAAGUGCUGAACAUGAGCAAUAGAAGCUGGGAUCUACUACACUAGUCAGGACCCCAGAUACAGGCUGUGCAAUGACGCCCCUGUGACAAUCCAGCACAUAACAGCGGGAUGCAAGAUGCCAGCAGGCAGAGCGCACAUGGAACGCCAUAACCAAGUGGCUGGGAUAGUGUACAGAAUCACCUGUGCUGAGUAAAGGCUGGAAGUUCUAAGGUCUAAGUGGAAUGCACCAAUAAAGGUGGUGGAGAAUGAAUGUGCCAAGAUCCUGUGAGAUUUCCAGAUACAGACAGACAAGAUGGUAAUGGCUAACCAACUGGACAUAGUAGUGGUGGACAAACAGCAGAAGAGGGCCGGAGUGAUGGAUGUGGUGAUCCCAAGUGACAGAAACAUCAGGAACAUGGAACACGAGAAGCUCGGGAAGAGGGGAGAGCUAGAAAAGAUGUGGUGAAGGCAACUGUGGUUGCCGUGGU